rnacentral:misc_RNA from 1 species
AAGAGUAAGGGUCUCUGGCCCGAACCUCCAACCCUCUGUUGUUAUAACUACUUCGUUGCUUUGGCGGGACCGCAAAGGUUUCCACUCGAGCGCGCCGGUCUUCGGACAGGCGAGCGCCCGCCAGAGUCUAACCAAACUCUUGUUUUAAACCAGUCGUCUGAGUAUAAAAUUUUAAUUAAAUUA